AUUGAACGCUGGCGGCAGGCCUAACACAUGCAAGUCGAGCGGUAGAGAGGUGCUUGCACCUCUUGAGAGCGGCGGACGGGUGAGUAAUGCCUAGGAAUCUGCCUGGUAGUGGGGGAUAACGUCCGGAAACGGACGCUAAUACCGCAUACGUCCUACGGGAGAAAGUGGGGGCUCUUCGGACCUCACGCUAUCAGAUGAGCCUAGGUCGGAUUAGCUAGUUGGUGGGGUAAAGGCUCACCAAGGCGACGAUCCGUAACUGGUCUGAGAGGAUGAUCAGUCACACUGGAACUGAGACACGGUCCAGACUCCUACGGGAGGCAGCAGUGGCGAAUAUUGGACAAUGGGCGAAAGCCUGAUCCAGCCAUGCCGCGUGUGUGAAGAAGGUCUUCGGAUUGUAAAGCACUUUAAGUUGGGAGGAAGGGUCGUUACCUAAUACGUGGCGAUUUUGACGUUACCGACAGAAUAAGCACCGGCUAACUCUGUGCCAGCCGCCGCCGUAACAC
rnacentral:rRNA from 1 species